CCGGCGGCGGCGGCGGAGCCCGGCCCGGGACACUCGGCGUAGGGCUGUGCUUCCUGUGGUCCUGCUCUUAAAGUUGGUUCAGGAUGCUGUUGCUGGAAACUGCAGAGCUUUGUCUGUUGAAGUGAGAUGCUUUGGAGUCAGCUGGAGGAUACCUCCUUUCUACACAGAAAAUAAGAAACCCUUCUGUCUGAAUCUUGCUGCUGAAUAGGCUGGCUGGAUUAGUGUUCGCUUUGAUAUCUUUUUCUUACAGCAUGAAAGAUGCUGUGACAAUGGAGUUAAGCUGCUCUGAAGUACCUCUUUA